rnacentral:rRNA from 1 species
UACAGAGGGUGCAAGCGUUAAUCGGAAUUACUGGGCGUAAAGGGUGCGUAGGUGGCUGAAUAAGUCCUAUGUGAAAGCCCCGGGCUUAACCUGGGAACUGCAUAGGAAACUGUUUGGCUAGAGUACAGUAGAGGGAAGUGGAAUUUCCGGUGUAGCGGUGAAAUGCGUAGAUAUCGGAAGGAACACCAGUGGCGAAGGCGACUUCCUGGACUGUUACUGACACUGAGGCACGAAAGCGUGGGGAGCAAACAGG